CUUGACGACCAUAGAGCGUUGGAACCACCUGAUCCCAUCCCGAACUCAGCAGUGAAACGAUGCAUCGCCGAUGGUAGUGUGGGGUUUCCCCAUGUGAGAGUAGGUNGAAUU
rnacentral:rRNA from 1 species